CAUGACUGCUUACUGGCUGGAAGCCGAUAAUUCAGCUUGCCUAUUGGCCAUAUAGAGGCGGUCAGGCACGACGCUAAUUGUUGCCUCGCCCCCAGACGAGGGGAUACAUCUUAUAAUACAUAUGUGACGGGUUAGCACCCGUUGGUAGUUAACUUACGCAACCAAACCACCUACCGCCCGUUCGCCCCCUCACAUGCUCCCGCGCACCUACGAAACGCCCUCUCCUCGCGAUUCCGCUCCGCGCUCGCGUAGUCCCUAACAAUUCCUCCGCGUAACCCUUAAUGUUCUUCCGCUCCGCGCCCCACUGCAGCACACACCUCUGAUAUUCUUCCAUUCCAAUUCCUCCUCUAUAAGAACCCCCCUUCAUACAACCCUUUCCUUCUGAUCUCUUUUCUCUUUCUUUCCUUAAUCAAUUCAUAAUCUGUUAUCAGGAUAGUGUCAAGUCCAUUGAUAGUGCCAUUGGAACGGAUUGUUCGAACUGCACGAACUGCGCGAACAGUACUAACGGUUCAAUCUGCAACAACGGUAACAUCUGGUUAAUCGGUGGCACGCCCGUUACAACAUACAGUGAAAAUGAAUAUUAUAAUUUUUUUUUUUUUUUAGUAAUAGAGAUUGAUUAAAUUUUGAAUAUCAUUAAUUUGAGAAGUAUAUAUAAACUAUAAAUGAAAAUCUAGUACGGAGGGCGCUAUCAAAAGAAUUGCGCCGCUCAGAUUCAAUUUAUACAGCUA
rnacentral:sRNA from 2 species